rnacentral:tRNA from 1 species
CGGUACUUACGUUAAGUAAGGUCACCGUCAUGGGGUGUCGGGGGUCGGAGGUUCAAAUCCUCUCGUGCCGACCA